UGCUUUGCUGACGAGUGGCGGACGGGUGAGUAAUGUCUGGGAAACUGCCUGAUGGAGGGGGAUAACUACUGGAAACGGUGGCUAAUACCGCAUAACGUCGCAAGACCAAAGAGGGGGACCUUCGGGCCUCUUGCCAUCAGAUGUGCCCAGAUGGGAUUAGCUUGUUGGUGAGGUAACGGCUCACCAAGGCGACGAUCCCUAGCUGGUCUGAGAGGAUGACCAGCCACACUGGAACUGAGACACGGUCCAGACUCCUACGGGAGGCAGCAGUGGGGAAUAUUGCACAAUGGGCG
rnacentral:rRNA from 1 species